UACGUAUGGUGCAAGCGUUAUCCGGAUUUACUGGGUGUAAAGGGUGAGUAGGCAGUCAUGCAAGUCAUAUGUGAAAUGUCAGGGCUUAACCUUGGCGCUGCAUAAGAAACUGUAUGACUAGAGUGCAGGAGAGGUAAGCGGAAUUCCUAGUGUAGCGGUGAAAUGCGUAGAUAUUAGGAAGAACACCGGUGGCGAAGGCGGCUUACUGGACUGUUACUGACGCUGAGUCACGAAAGCGUGGGGAGCAAACAGG
rnacentral:rRNA from 1 species